rnacentral:rRNA from 1 species
GCUUAGAGUUUGAUCCUGGCUCAGAUUGAACGCUGGCGGCAGGCCUAACACAUGCAAGUCGAACGGUAACAGGAUAGCUUGCUAUCGCUGACGAGUGGCGGACGGGUGAGUAAUACUUAGGGAUCUGCCUCUGUGUGGGGGAUAACUAUUGGAAACGAUAGCUAAUACCGCAUAAUGUCUACGGACCAAAGCGGGCUUCGGCUCGUGCGCAGAGAGGAACCUAAGCGAGAUUAGCUAGUUGGUGAGGUAAAGGCUCACCAAGGCGACGAUCUCUAGCUGUUCUGAGAGGAAGAUCAGCCACACUGGAACUGAGACACGGUCCAGACUCCUACGGGAGGCAGCAGUGGGGAAUAUUGCACAAUGGGGGAAACCCUGAUGCAGCCAUGCCGCGUGUGUGAAGAAGGCCUUCGGGUUGUAAAGCACUUUCAGUUGUGAGGAAAGUUUAGUAGUUAAUACC